GCUUAGCAUGUUUCGCCUGCUUAAUUUAAUUUGGAAAAAUUCAACCAGAAAAUGAAGUUAUUAACAGUAUAGAAGAAGGUGCAUGCUCAGGAGUUGCUAUCUGACUGAGUUGCUGAAGACAGCGAGUCACUGACAGAGGAGUAGGAAUUAUCAAAAGAGAAGUGUCUGCCACCCUGUUUCUUUUGUGCUAACCACCAACAGCUGGAGACCAGGCCAAAGAGAGGCAAGAGAAGCACGUCUCAAGGAAGCAUGUGCUUAAGCACGAAGAUGAACAAAGCUUCCAGGGCUAUUCAAAUCAGCUCUGGCUAUACCAAGUCCAUGCCUAUCCAUUAUACUUUCCAUAUAUUUUAAUAAAUUCAAAGAGAGCUGCUGAGAUUAAAGGGAAGAGCUUUGUGGUGGACAACUCGAAAUGAACAGGCUCUUCCUGCUGUGCAAGGCAGCGACUUGCUGAAGAUGGAGCCUGCACAUCAAAGGAGAGGAUCAUAAGGAUUCUGCCAGGUUUUAAUGCAACAUACCGGCUAUUUUGACUUGGUCGUCUUCUAAUCAAACUGGAGAUGUUUAGCUAGAAACUCCUUUCCCUGUUAUUUCAAACAUAGCCCAAGCACAGCUCCAGUGUCUGCUGAGGAUAGGUUGGGCAUGGAUGGGAGAGAGCUGACCCUACCUCGAUUUGUUGUGUUCCUUCCUUAUCUGCCCAUUCUAAUGGAAGUCUGCCACACAUCAUGGAUGCAAAGUGUGGAGCAUCAGAUGUUCACAGCUUCCCAUUGUGAAGUGAAGGUGUUGGGACCACUUUGUCUUCAGGACUGGACCAACGCUUUAACUACAAGAAAGUGUCAGAUAUGCGGGAUGAUGAUGCAUGGAAAGAAGAAAAACAUUCCUGAGUCAUCCUGUUUCCUGAGCAUAAGGAGGCACAAGAUAAUACGAACUGCAUGACCUGCUGAUGGCGAAGUGCUGCUUCCAUGGAAGAUGCAGCUUUAAACAAUAAGAGAAAGUCUCUCCACAGCAUCAACCCUCUCCUGCCAUAUUUUGAACUUUGGAGUGUGCACAAGGAUGGAAAAAUACAGAAGGAUGGAAAAACACAAGGAGUGGUGGGACACAAUGCAAAGUGAGUCUGAGCUGCCUUUAACUUCAGCCUUUGCACUGUGCCAAUACACCAGGAAGAUGCAGUUUAUUCUACCAGGAAUGCUGAUAUUGCAAACACCUAUUUAAACACAGAAGUGUUGGAGGUUUGAACAUCUUUUAUGAAUACUACACCACUGUUUUAAGAAAAGACAAAUACAAGAAACAAAGAAGUUUGUCUGCGAGGCUUUUACUGAAUCUUAGCCAAAGGUACGAGUCUUUUAACGAAGAAAUACAGCUUCUACAGACUUGCUUUCUCUUCUUCAGUAUAAAUUUUGAUGUAUAAAUAACGUUCCUACGGAGACCUGGUCAUCUGCUGGUAUUGAUCACCUGCCUCCCUGUCCUCCAAGAUUUGGAUGUGCUCUGCCUGUGAUCUGGAUGUGGAUAGGGUUUCUCUGUCUGUGCUUCUGGCAAAUGUGGUCUGAUUCAGUCAUAGCCUGAAACAAAUGUCAGCACCUUUACUGGAAAAUGUAGUAAACAGUGGAUUAGACAAACGAGAGGGCUGGAAAUGGGUCUGCUUCAAGUCUUACCGCAUACCUUGUGGAGUGAUGUCUGGAGAUGGUGGAGUCCUAGGGAGAAGUGUUCACCUGCUUGUUGAUUCACUGCCGGCUGUGUUCCCUGACUGCAAUCAGAGCACAUUUUCCCCUUCAGAAGUUUAGAAUCAAGGAGAAGGUAAACACAUGCCAAAUCUUGCAGUGAUGUUGGCCCGCUCCCAAAGUUGCAACAUAAUGAAGAAAACGUUCAGUUUAGAACUCUGUGCCCCUUUUUUACAACAUUCCUUAAGUUACUCAUGACAGAUGCAACUUUCCUGGCUCCAGAGGUAGUGAAAAUAAACCAUUACAUAUUGCAAAAACUUACGAAAACAAAACAACUGGAAUUCCCAUGCUAUGUCUCUGAUCUAUCUGUAACAGGCUGAAACCAAGAUUCUGAGCUGUUAUCCUCAAGGAUAUUGCAUGAGCAAGCCCUCUCUACCAUGGCAUUACUGCUUCAUCCCAGGAAUAAUUCACCUGAUGCACCCUGAGACCAUGCUGCCUUUUUCACAGGGUAAUGUUAAUGGCUAAAAUGAUCAGAUGGGAUGUGACCUUCGGCUGCCCUGGGCAGAUUCUCCUGUGAGUCAGUGGUGGAUUUGGUUUCUACAGAGCUCAGCGACCUGCACCAGUCAAUGCUGGGGACUUCUCAAAGAAAUGGUUCCAAAUUCUCCCAGUGUUGAGUUAGCAUACUCCAAGAGGAACCCACCAGUUACAGAGGGCUUUGUAUUACUGGUCCAGGAGCAAUUUCAGUGUCAAAAUUGCCCCAGGAACUUUGGGAAUAGUUGGGCAAAAUGAUGGUCACAUCUGCCACCUCUCAUGAUGUUCCAGUUGUUUACUUAUUAGUGAGUGAGUAGCAUGUGGGGCUGCAGGAGCCCACAGGCAUCCACUUCCAAAUCCUCGGAGUUGCUGCAGUGCACAGCUCUUGCUCUUCUUUUAUUUUUUCUUUCCAAACAAGUUUUUUUAGCCUUUGACAUUUUAGGAGAAAUUUACAAAAGAAAAAGAAGAGAAAGAUCUAUUCUGAUUUCUGACAAAAUAAAGUUAAACUUCUGCAAGAAUUUAAGUAAGCAAUCAAAAACUAACUAUAGGUGUAAUAAGCAGAACUUUAUGUAUUUAUGCCCAUCAAAGAGGCAACAGCAGAGUAGUGUUGUCUAUCUAUGUGCAGAAAACAGUGGUUUUCUCAGCUUCAUCUCAUGAGUAUGCAGAUGUGGCUGUGGCUAAAGGAGAUGUGCUUGAAGCGGUAAUCAACCUUUUAAUUCCAAUGGUAAAAUUGCCAUGUGAAGGCAUGCAACUCCUCGAGGGCUACAUGACUCUCCAUACAGUCUUGGCACUAUGUGGGCACCAUUGGUACCCACGAUGCACCCCAGACCUUACCUACACUCUGCUCUGUGUCAGGACUCAUUUCAGGACUCAUUUUGAUCUCAUUUCAGAGGUGACUGUACUGUGGGACUGUACAGAGCCAUGCUGGAUCAGAAAUGGAAAACAGAACCAUAGCCAGCAACAGAUGGAUAGAAGAAUUUUGGCUGGAUGUUGCACAAAAAGGUCUACGUACUCUUAGGUUUGUGGUAGAAGAGUUCUCCAAGAUGCUAAUUUUAGGUACAGUUUGAUGUAGAACAUUUGUUCUUCAAUAUCGACGACCUUCUUCAAAAGCACACAUUAUUCCAGACCUUGGGUAUGACAUAAAGGGUUAAGCUGUCCUGUUGUACGGAGAAGCCAGAGCCGCCUCACUGCUCUGUGAAAUCCAAGGAAAGCAGUGGCUCCCGAAAUGCCCUCCCUUGCCUGAACAGUUUGAAGACUGGUUUCUGUCCUAACUUGGUCUGAAUCUGCCUUUGGUGCCAUUGUGGAGGGAGAAAACACUUCAACUGUGGCUUUCCCAACAGCCUUUUCCUGGGAUGGAUAUUUUCUUCUACAGAAGAAACUUCUACAGAGAAAUUCUGAUACGGUCAACUAACUAGAGCAUCUGGUGUAUGCAGCUGGUCUAAGGAUUCAGCAAGAGGUGAGACCAGGAGCUGUUUAAUCACCACAAACAUGAAGACUAACCCAAGCAUGCUCUCCCUUCUCUGGAGGAAGUCAAGCAGCAGCACUGAGGCAUAAAUGUUCAAGUCCCUUCCAGACGUCUUGCCUGCUUCUGCCUUGAGUCACUAGAAAAACAAGGUGGUUUUGCUGGGUGGAGAUUUGUGUCAGAAUAACUUGCAGAACCGAGCCCUCAGUUUGCAAACGGCGGCGAACUUCAGUUCAUUAAAAGAAAUUUCAGAGGUGAGCUUCGUGAUGCUUUAAACAAUCACUGGAGGAAAAUAUUGGAGCUUUCCACCAAGGCCGUGAGCCAAGCCAGGUUCCAUCUGUGCACUCUCCUCUACUUGAGUGGUCACGUCCAUGUGCCAUUACUAAGGAUGUAUGGUGGAAUCAUGCCAAGCCUUCAACCUCACAUUUUGAACUUCUCAAUAAGAAAGACGGGGGGAUGGUUUUAAAAAGCAAAAGUCCAUGUUCUUAAGCAUCAUCCUCGCUCUUGGUGUCAUGGCCAAAGGAUGCAUGACUUCUCCCUUCGUACCUGUGAGUAGAUCACUGGAAGGACUGCAUGCAAAGUCUGUUUAGGCUUUCACUAGUGAGUCUCUUACCAGCAACAAGGAGGUAUUACUGGCAACGGCUGCCCAGGAAUCACUGUCCCUGGAGGUAUUCCAGAACCACAGAGAUGUGACACUGAGGGACACAGUGAGUGGACAUGGUGGGAGUGGACUGCGGUUGGACUUGAUCCUAGAGCAGCUCCUUGGCUCUACUCAAUGAGGGACUCAGUGCAUGAUGCAGCAUCCUGGGAGAAGGUACCUCUGAGAGACAAAGGUCAGGAAAUGGGCUCCUUGCCAGGCCACGGCCACGAUCCAGGUUUUCUGAGACUGAGUACAUUCAUCUGAGCUGUUAGCUGCUACGCUCCACCGCAUCCCUGUAUGAUCUGCCUAGGCUUGGUCCCCCAGAGGAAAUUUCUGCAUGCAUACUGUAUAUGAACUUUAGAUAAAUAAAUAAACACGAGAAACAGCUUCCAGAUAAUUGAAAGCGAGUGAAGGAGGGAGCAAAAAGAAAACAAUUUCUCAGGGGAGAAGCAAGCUGAGGUGGCAGGUGCAGCCUAAAUUCAGCCAAGGUAUUUUGGUUGUUCACUACCUUCGCGUAAUUAAAUAUUGAAGCACGCUGAGCUGUGGUAUCAACAUCCGUAUGGUACAAAUACCUUUUCAGCCCAGCUGGACUCAGCUGCAUUAUCUGUGACCUGAAAAGCACACGCUCACCUUGGUUAAAUGGGGCUCGACUCAGCAAUAUUCAGCAGAGCUGCGGCGGUUCCUGGCUCUGGCCACCAAGGCUCCACAGGAUUUUCACUGCUCAGGUGUUGCAAAGCCUAAUCCUUAUUCAGGAACCAAAACGCUCCCCUCUCCUUGCCUGCGGUGCUUGGAUGCCUGCCUUUGGCAGUAGCCCCAGACUCCUGCAGAAGAUGAAGACAUCCCUCCAUGCCUAUAGAUGGAAAAGCGCCAACAUGGAUGCCAUCAGAAGGACGCAGCUGAGCAUAUGCUGAGAAAAUUGUGGCAUCCAUACUGUACAUGGGGAAGGGCUGACUGAACACACCAGUUUGUUGAAGCUUAUGGCCCUGAAAAGGAAACAUAGGUUUCCUGUAAAUGUCAUUCAGGGAUAUGCUAACUGUUAUUUCCUGGCACUGGAUCAUGAUGCUUUCAACACAUUCUGUUCCUCUACCUCUGCUGCUACCUCUGCUGCCUGCCUGCCUGGUUGUGCGCAGUGAUAGCUCUCCUGUCUUCUCACCUUUCCUCCUCCCCGCGCCAGGCAAAGGUAUUCUGGUUGGGAGGGCCAAUGUCAGCGAGCGAGAUGACAGACGGAGAGAUGAAAUCUCAGCCCUGCACUCAGCCUGGCUGCUGCCUGUACCUGGGCCUUGCUGCACCAUCCCUUGAACGCAAAGCAAUUCAAGGAAAAGAGUAACUUCUGUUACAUUAGAAAUCACGCAUUUCUGACCCAGAAAGAGAGGAAUUUCACAGUCUCUCAGGACAUGUGCUUGAAGGGAGGAUUUCUGGAGCCUAAACCAGAGGAGCCCAGGAGCUGCUGGUGUGAAGGCUCACCGCAAGCACCUGCUGCUUCUGGAGGAGUUCCUGUGGCAAUGCAUGUGCUCAGGAUGAAUAGGUACAGCUGUCCAGUUCUAGUAGAUAUUUUUCCCUCUGGUUUAUACAUAUUUGAAAAGCUACACAUGAAUAAACACAUAAAUUAAUGCUAGAUGUACUUCUUAUCCAUGCAAGUGUGAGCUGUAUGUAUAUAGAUACACAUACAAAUAUGGGCAUAGUUAUCAGCCUUGGUAUCCUACUUGUUAAGGUAAUUGUGUCAUUUAAAUUCUGUCAUACUUGGUUCAAGACAGAUUCAUUAACUGGUCCUAUUUAUUACUCCAGGAUCUGAGCACCUGUUUCUUAGAGGUAAAACCAGAAUAAAUCUCCUAAUUUCCCAGGUUCUUUUACAUUUUUGCUUCGAAAUAAUGAGACGCUUAUAUUCAAAGAAAAAAAAAUGAAAUAUCUGAUGCUGAAAAAUACAAUCAAGUUAAUUUUUUAGGUAUACCGAGGUGAAAUUAUUGCAUUUGUUUGUCUGUGUAGAUAGUUUUCUUUGUGCUGGCGUAAGACCUGAUGCUGGCCAUAUUCUGUGAACACAGUUAUUAUCAUAUUUAGUAUCUUAAAUAUGUACGUACAUAAUUGCUUUAUAUGUGUUUGUGCUUCCAACAUAUCAGACUGGCUAAGAGAGAGCACCCAUAGCAGUAUCAAAUUGCUUAUUGCUCUCUCCACAGUCAACUAGAGCACAAGGAGGAGAGGAAAGAACAACAGAAGCUCUGACUAACAAUUUCUCUCUCUCUCCCUAUUUAUUUAGGAAUCCAAGUUAACAGAAGGAAGAAACAACUCUUUUGUAGUAAUGCUCUGUAGGGCAUUAUCACAGCUAAUCUUAUGGUGGUAUGUUUUAGUCCAAAAAUGUUACUGCUCAGGUCCAUGCUACACCAUUUGUCAGUUGUUUACACCCUACAUAUGGAUUAGCACUGUAUGCUAGCUAUGAAAACCUGUUCUGCUCUUAACCCACCUGCAUGAAGCGCUGAAGCAGCUCACUGCAUCUGAUAUUUAGCUUUACUUCCUUAAGAUGUUGGACCACAAGAAGCAGGCACAGGUACAGGUAACUUGGUAGUGUAAUAAACUCUCCCCAUGUUUCAUCCACCAUUGGCUGUCAAGUUUAAAGAUGUUUGUAAUGAUUUGCCACUGGUGAAAUCCAAAGUAAGACUAGGAAUGUGUCUGUUUUGGCCAACUAGUAAUGACAGCUUGAAUGAUAUUGCACCAAAGUACUUUUGGACCACUAUUGGUUCACUGCCUGAAAAUAAAAUCUUUUUAUUUAUUUUGUCUCCUAUACCCACCAUUCAGAUUUCCUUCAGGAAACAUACCCUGGCCCCUGUCCACUAUCGGAUAGGUGAGAGUGAGGCGGUCUUUGCAGUGGUUAAGCACAAAUUUUGCAGAGAAGGGAUAAAGUGUUGUGGGCAAGGACCUGUGGGCUGAAAGUCAGAGUAACCAUGAUGCAGUGCCAUCACCCCACCUCACAGCUCAGAGUCUUGCAUAUCGCAUGGGCUGCCUGGAGCCUACACAGUUCACAGAGUGGAAAAAGGAAUUGAAGAAGCAAAAAUAAAUACUAAAGCAUGUAAGAAUUAAAUAUCACCUAUUUAAAUAGCAAUUACGCCGCUAAAAACAAGAUCACCACACCUGUACAAGAAAAGACAAGCAAGCCCAAAACAUCUGUUUGCAUCCACCUGCCAAGCACCUGUUCCGCUGUUUCAAUGCCAUUUGAUUGCUGGAGAUGUAGAGGCUCUUGUGAGGUAAUGAGUGAUUUUACAUUAUGCAUGAUUGAAAACAGGUGUUCUAAUGCUGUACAAUUCUGUGCAUGAAUAAUUCAGUUUGUUUAGAGCAAGAUCUUUAAAAGAAGUAUGGUCUUUAUUUUUUAUAAAUAUUAAAGUUAUUCUCUGCAAUGUGCAGUGGCUGGUCUUCUCAGCAGGAGCACUGAUGACCAUUUUUGUGUAAUUCUAUGGGUAGGAAAUAACACUGUGAAAGGUGAAAAAAAAAAAUUAUACCUAAAGCACACAAGCAAUGAAAUUGAAAGGUUUCUUUAGCAAGGAGAGGAAAAAAACCUGUCACUGUUUUAAGCUAGAAAGCCAGAUGACUUUUGGCAAAGCCUGCUUCUCAACACUAACAAAACAGCCCAAGAGCUUAAUUAUAUGGAGGGGUGAAUGUGCCUCAGGGAUAAGUAAGAGCUAGUCCAUCUCUUGGUCUGAAUUCCAGCUGAGUCUGAAUAUGUUUAAGAAUUUGGGCUGCAUUUUUUUUUUCCUCUCUCUCUCUUUUUCCUCCUGAUUAUGAAAAGGAUUUUUGUGCAGUUGUGUGUUUUGUGCUGGUAGAAGAUGCUGCAGACUUAGGUUUUAUUUGCAGGCUGGUCGUCACACAGGAAACUGUAUGCAGAGUCCAUCAGCCCAUGCUCUUCAUCACGAACUCAGUUGCUCUUUAAGACCAUCUCCCAGAGAUGAGGAAGAUGCGUUGAUCCAAACGAGACGCAGCCAAGCUUGGAGCAUCCUCUCUGCUCCAUCCCAAGGUAAGCCUGCAGCUGGCACGGCCUUGUGCCUUCAGCCAGGGCCAUUUUGAGGUGGGAACAGAAGAAGAGAGCAGCCAAGGGUUCUCCUGCCCCAGCAUGUGCCUGCUCCCCCCUAGCUUCCUCAGUAAUUAGUGUCAGUGAUGGUGUUAGAUGCUAUUAUGGGAAGAUUCUGCUGAGAACAGAGCUGAGCUCUCCAUGUGCACUUCCCAGGGGAGCUUUGGCACUUUGUCCUCCUCCCCCACUUCCACUGCAGCCACUACAGCAGCUUCCGGGACUCACGGCUGAUUUGAUGCUGUUCUUGAAACAAAGCUGCUGGAGGGUAUUUUAUACCUGAGGGGCCACAUCCUGAGCCUGGGACAGGCAAGUACCAAAGCAGUGGAAGAGGCUGGCAGCCCUGCCGAGGUAUUGUGGUGAACAGCCUAAAAUUUUAGUGAAAGUGAGCAACGUGGAAAGUAGAAGUGGACAAAAACUUUCAGAUCUUCUCAAUGGCCAUGUCCUACCCAUCGUCCUUGAUGGGGCAAUAAAGUGAGGAAAGAGUAAGAGAGGAGAAAAAGAAUGAGACGAGUAAUGUGAAAGUGGGAAUGGAUGAAGUCAAGAGGCUGAAAAAUUAAUUAAGCAUGCUGCAAUAGGCAAUUCUUAACAGACACUGCAGUGCCCUGUGCUAAAGACUGUACAGUGAUGCUAGGGCACUGAUAUUUAGUAUUGCAGGUAUAGAACCCUCAAGUUUUGGAUCUUGUGGUCAUCGGGGUUGGUGGAGUGGGCUUGGGUGUGCAUUGUAGAGUAGAACAAGAGAAGGUGAAAAAUCCAAGAGACCAAAACAGCACAGUGUGCUUCAGGUCCUCACUGGGUGGACAGGGAUAGCUUAAGCUCUGUGCCCUGCACUUCUCAGGAGAUGUCAGCCCAGGGUCCCUGCAGGACUAAAAGCCUUCAUGGCCACGCUUGGCUAAGCAAGCAGACAUUUAGGGGUUUAACUGAAGUGGAUCUGUAAUCUUUCAGUAUUUUAUAAUACAGUAUGUUACAGGAGACCAUAAAUUAGAGCUUAUAAUACCCGAUCCGCUCAGCUACUGACAGAAUAUCUAAGGUAAUCUGACCUGCUUCACAGACCGUGAGAAAAAUCCUCAUGGAAAGUGAAAGAGAUGAAUUACAGAAUUUUACAGAGAAGUGGGAGAAUUUCUCUCGGCUCAGAUCUUGGGUUAAUUCCCAUGUAAGGUGAAAGAAUGUUUCACCACAUUUUGCUCAACUGAAGUUGGCAAGCUUUAAUAGAUGCAGCCCUGCAGGCUGAGGGAUAAACUCUGCUCCCUUUCACUCACUUGAGCCACUGCCCAUGUGAUCAACAAUGUGGGUAGUAAUAAAGUGAAGGAAAUAAGGGAAGAGAUCUCUGAGAGAAAGCAAACGAUGGGAUGAAAUGCUGCAAAAUGUCUGAGGAGGUGUUUUUUUCUCAUUAGGAAUGGGGAUACAUCCCAGUGCUCUACCUCAACAAUAAGGAAGGCAUUUCCUAUCUGCUCGGAGCUGUUGUUCCUCCCUGUCACAAGCAGAGAAUAAAUACAGUCUCAUAAUUACAGCAUGCUGAAGGUGGAAGCUUUUCCUAUGGAUCAACCACUCUUUUUUUUUUUUUUUUUUUUUUUUUGCCCUCCUGGUAAUAGUUGAUCUAUAGAACGUGUCUGUGAUCGUUUCAAAUGGAAGCUAGCAGUUACUUUCUGUUUUCUGCUUUAUGUUCGGGAAAUGUGUCUCCAGAGAUGCCUCCUUCUCUCACCUCUUCCCAUAACAGUGAGAGGUGCCAGCAGCUCCUCUGCCACUUUCCUAACUAUUUCCAUUCCCCUUCUACGUACUUAUGUUUCAUACUUGCUCUCUCAGUCAAUUCCUGCAAGAACUAAAAUGUGGGUCUUGGUCGUGUUAUGUUGGAUGCUGAUCUCUGAGCCAGGUCAGGUGCCUGCAGGCAGGAAAAUAUUUGGUUUUCUGCCAUCAUUUCUUUGUAUCACACCUUUACUGCAAAGUGUCCAAAGGAAAUGAACUUUUCCAGAAAAACAGCCCGAAGAAAACCUUUGGAGUUUCUCAUUUAUGAGUAUGUUUGUGUGAUCCAGGCCUUCUGUGAGGUUUCUAGAUAAUGCAUUGGUAAGAUGAAUGGAGACCUUUGUGUUAUCUGUGAUGGGGCAGAAAGCACACAGCUUCUGGAGUCUUUUGAGGAACUCAGAUGGAAGACGUUACACAAAUCCAAAGCGUGCAUUUUUUUAAUACCUCCUGAUUUAUUAGAUAAAUGUGUCAUCUUUACCUUAUAACUUCUUCGGCCUUGGUUUCUUUUCAAGAAUUAACCAGGAGCUGAUGAAUUUAAGGGAAAUUUUCCAGUGCUGACCAGGAGAUCUGAGAUCUUGAUAUCUCUGUGUACUUUCUCAAGGUACCAGUAGUCCCAUUUCCUCAACCAGUAGUACACUCCUUCUUAUUCUCAGUCAUAAUUGUGUUGAAACUGCCAAGUGUUCUUUCCACCUCUUUAAUUUUGUUCUCAGAAGAAAUCCUUCACUUCUUUGUAUGCAGAGGCUGCUGUGGUCUGGAUCUCAUCUCGUCUUCUAGUAACAUCUUCCAGAUUUGUUUUAAACUGAUUAGACGCUGCUGAAGAAUCAGCUCUCUCCCCCGGACAGUACAAAGCAGAGUGCUGGCAGAGCUGGCUCUUGGCCAUCAUCUACAUGGUGACGCAGCAUCACAUCACUUGACAGCCCCAAUUUCAUUUGGGGAGCUCUGAAAUGUUCACAUGCACUGAAAAAAAUUAUAAUAAUACACAAGGUGACAGGAGGGUGCAAUUAAAACAGAAGCGCCAGCUUGACCAGAGAGUGGCUUUAAUUGGAGGUCUUCUAUACGCUGGAGCACAGACUCUAAAAGGUAUUUCUGCCUUUCUAAUGUGGCUGCAUUUCUGCCUCUGAAUUUUGAUUUUGAAAAACAGAAAAUGAUGCCUUUUUUAUUGGGCCAGUGAGAGAAAUUACAGGGAAUGAGCUGAGUGAAUUUAAAAUUCUCUCAGUAGGGUAUAAAGGCAGGGAAAUACUUGUCCCUCCAUAGCUCAGUAACUUCCAGUGCAGGUUAGACAUAGGAACACUCGUUCCCAGUGCCCACCUAAGCAUGGGGGUUCAUGUAAGUGAGGAUCACAUGUGUUGUCACCACCUCGAUUCUCUGCUGGAUGGAUCUCACCCUCACUUUAAACAUAAGGAAGAAAUUCAGAAGGUCACCACAUCAAAUACUAAUUCUGAAAUUCAUUUCUCCCUAAAGAUUAAUAUAAAGCCCAAAAUGAAAUACACUGAAAAUAAGCAAAGUUAGCUGCAGUAUUUGAGUCUUCCCAUCACAGUGUCCUAAGAGGUAUCCUGUGGUUUGACACAUAAUUAAUAUGUUUAUCUAUCUUUGCUUUCUUUCAUUCUUUGUUUUCAAUAACAGCCAUCACCAUAAUAGUCAAGUAUAAACAUUCCAUCCUGUUUCAUAAAGAGCCUACGGUCCAUUUUAUUGCAACACAGUUACUUUCCCAGAUCCCACGAGUGACAAGGCGUGAUGCUUGAAAAAAUUCUCUGAAAUUUUCUCACCGUUUUUGCUUGAAGUAAGUUGCAUUCUGUUUACAAACUUGGGAAAAUGGGCCUCUUUUGCCUACUUUUGAGUGUCAUGGGAACACAUACCGAGAUCUGAUCCAGUAGCACUGCGUGAUGCUGGGAGCUUCUCAGGGUCCCGUAGUUUGCCCCCGAGGGUGUUUCAGGAUGCGGUGUAAAGUUGCAUGCUGUUUGCCAUGUCCAGGGUCCCAGACACAUGGGGAAUCAGACUGGCUCCAAUAUUGAAAGCUGAUCAUUUUUCAGACAAACAUAGAUAUGAUUUUUGUUAUUUAUUCACGCUGAAAUGUUAAUAUGUCCUCAUUACUCUAAAUUAUUUCAUUUUCAACUUACAGUAUGUUCAUGGAUUGCUUGAAGGAAUUACUGGCUUUAGCUUAUGUUAUCUGUGACUCACUUUUAAUAGACUUGACUGGCCAGGUAAUUUCCACAGUAUUGUUUUUGGCUCCUUAACUGGAUCCCAUCCAAGUUUACAAAGUGCUUCCACAGAGAUAAUGGAGAACAUUCCAGCCUCCUGUGAAAUGUCAGCUCUGUGUCCAGUGCUAGACGUGCAGCAUUAACCUGGUUAAAGCUGCUGGAUUCUGUAAUUUCUUUCUGGGAAGUACCAAACAUCCUAAAGACACCAAGUCAAAUCUGCCAAAAGCAGGAGAGAAAAAGAAAAUGGGAGACUCAGAGUGAGAGUGAAAAGUAAAUGCAAUGCUAUUACUUUACACCAAAGAACUGUAAGUUAAUUGAUGUCCAUAAUAAACUUUCAGUAGAAAAGUAUUAAAUAUUUUUGAAGACGUCUGUAAAUCCAGUAUUGGGAAAAAAAAAGUUACUGUUAUCUGGGUUUAAUCAGCUGAGAAAAGCAUGAUGAUAAAUAAGAUUUAGUGGAAGCAUAAAUUGAAAAUGGCGAAUAAUACUUUUAAAAGGGAGCCUACUGGAAUACGUAUGUCUCUAUGUCUCUGAGGUAUUUGAUUUGGAAUAUAUAAUCAUCUCCUUUGAGGAUAUUUAUGAAAGUUAUUUCUGAAUGUUCAGAGAUUUCUCUGCUUUUCAUUAUCUAUUUUUCUUAACAAGGGCCAGAACUGUAUGCCUGAUUUUCUGUGAUAUAUUCACUUGGGAGGUUUUCUCGUACUGGCCAAGGACACAUCGUUUACAAGAAGGUCCUGUCAAGCAUCCAAAUGUCUCUGCUGAAGCUUCCAUUUUAGAUGACCCCACAGAAUGUGAGAAAACCUUCUUUUAGGGGAAUGGCAUCUUCUGGCCAGAGCUGUGUCCUGAAAGGCUGCUGUGCUUAACGCACAGUUGAAAUGCCCAAUGCAAAUUAAUGGUAGAGGUAGGGAUGAUGUACCUGUGUUUUCUCAAGAAAGAAAACUCAAACCCUUGGGAUGAUAUUUUCUGCAUGCAUGAUUACCUUCAUUGCAAUUUGGAUUUCUGAGAAGGUCAGUUGGACUUUUGGGCCCUGUGUUCUGGAGAAAUCUGAAGAAUUUGGGUCAUCUUCCUCUCUUGACUUAAAAAUAACUUCUGUUAAUGCAAUUUGGAAAGCAUAUUUCUUUGAAUAUGAUCUUCCAUUUGCAGAGGGGGCAAAGUUUACAAUUUUGGGUGGAAACCAUGUGAAAGCUAGCGGUUCCAUCAGGGGUUUGUUUGGAAAUUUUUGGAUUUGUUCAAACUCAAAAGUCAAAGUGAAACUCGGGGGAUGUGAACCCGCUUGAAUCAAAACCAAAACAGUGAUGCGCCAGAUCUCCCAUGAACCAAAACCACCGGGUUCUCACAGUUCUCAUCCAAACAAAAAUGCACUAACAUAAAUCAAAUACCGAACCAAAUAUCCUCUUUUGCUCCAUCUGGCUUUCAUGGAAAUAACUCAGAAUAUUUAAAAGGUCUGCUCAGUUUUGCAGCAGCAACCACCAAAAUAUCCUGAGAUCAUUUGAUAUCAGGCAGUUAAUAUCCUGAUCUAUUCUCUUUAGUCAGUAUUCUAAUCCUUUUCUACCAACACUGCCUUGGAGUGCACAGCGUAACUAUCCCUUAACAUCUUCCUCGAUUGUACGGUUUCACAGGGAAGACUCUGUGAACAAUUCACAGUCCUUCUCCUUCUCAUUCUUGCUCAGAGAGCCAAGAAAGGAGUUGGAGCUGCAAGCAGAUGAAAAAACCAAGCAGUACGAUCAGUACGGAAGCAGAACACUUAGCUGCUAUAGGACAAGCUGGGGCACUGAGAAAAUAUUUAAUGAUAAUUUUCCUUGUGAUUUCCCUUGUUUGAGACCAUACUAUGACCCUGAAAUGAGAGAAUUAAAAAAAAAGAUGUUUUGCAGUAUAUCAUGUAGCAAAACGUCUCUAAAGCCAUUAAAAAAAGUGCUGGGCAUGGAAGAACAGAAAAGGUUUCCUCUGUAACUAAGACACGCUUGUUUGUAAUAACAUGUGCUUUCAAACACUGCCAAGUUGCUGAGGAUAUCUCUGUUAUAUACAAUCCUGAAAAAUGUGUUAAAAAAAACAAGGUAAUGUAAAAAAAAGAAAAAAAAUCUAAAAAAAAGAAGAGUUUGAUCAGAUGGUUAAAAUCCAGUCAAACCUAAGACAACCUGUUUAUGACCUUUCCAUGCUAAAAGCUAGAAAUGUCUUUCUUUUUUUUUUUUUUUUUUUUUUUCCACAAGAUUAAUUACCAUCACUUUGGGAGUAGUGAGCUGGACAUUAUUAUAUGAUGUCAAUUAAUGAUUAAAAAAAAGGUGGUUUGCAAAUGUAGCACCACAGUCCCUGGUGCAUUACAUCAUUUCUGAAAGAUCUUAACACGUGAUAAGCAGAGAACAUUUUAACCUAAAAGUCUGAGUGUUACAACCUCCUUUUCUGUUGUAACACCCUACCCACAACCUUUUGGCCUUGAAGUCACUCGCAAUAAAAUUAAGAAGUCAAAAAGAAAAGGGGGGAAAAAAACCUCUGGGAAAGACAAGACACACUUCUGUUUUGCUGUCGAGCAGAUAAUGCAACAAAAUGAGUGGCUAUACGCAUUGGGAAACGCGGUUGCUGAUCUUUGUGCAGUGUUCUCAGCAAGAUUCGUCAUCAAAAUCUCAUGCUUAGAGUCGUAAGGUUGCUGUGAUUCAGGUAUUAUAAACUACAUAAUGCAGUUAUCUCUGUGAGAGUGCCUCGAAAAUUUCAUGCGCUGACUGAAAUGACUCCUGCACUUGUCUAUGCGCUGCUUUCCCAGAUGGGCUGACAGUGAUCAUUUUAUGUGCCUUAUUGAAUUCGCUGAAAUAUUUAGAAGGGUUUCUACCUAUAUUUUACAUCUCCUUCUGUUAUUACCUUUUUUGCAGCAACAGUUUGACUUCUUCGUCAAUAAUACACAUAACCUGAUCCAUUCUUCUCUGAGCUCUUCUCCUCUUUUAGCGUCAAAAUGCUGUGGAUGUUCCUUUGUAAACGAUAUGCAUUUAAAAUACCUUUGUAAUAAUAAAUACCACACGAACAUAUGUAUCAAGGAAAGGAUUUCAAUUUUGAUGACACUUGCUUCUCAAGAACAGACAUUCUGGAAGGAAAAAACAUUGCCAGCCCCAAAUUGAUUGACAUUUGUUUACUUAACUCUCUCUUCUUGAAAGUCUGCACACCUAUUUCAACCUUGAACAGUUUCCAACUGUGGUAUACUGGAACAUUUUUUCAUUUAUUAAGUUCAGUGUUGCCAACCCAAACAAAGAGUAAUCAGUGAUGAUCCAAGCAGACCAAGCUGUCUAGCACCAUACAAUGUAUCUGCAUGCUAAUUUUCAAAUUCCCUCACAUUUCCAGAGAACUAAUGGGAUCAUUUUCAUUCUGUUACAGCAACUCAACAGUUACUGAAUCACCAUCUGUGUUUUCGUUAACCUGAAUCAGAUAUGAAUUCUGUUAUUGCAAGGUAGAGCAGCUUGUUUAAUGAUUCUUAAUCUUUUCUUUAAUUAAAUCAUGCAGCCAACCUGAAAAAUCUAUCUUAAUGCAAAUUAGGAGCUUUUUUGGCAUUCACUUACAGUAAUGCACUAAUAAGGUUAAUUUAUGAAGGUUCUCUUCCAGUCUGUACAGAUGAUAUUUGUUCGCUGCAUAUUUUUAGCAUAUUGUCCCCUUUUCUAAUAUUUAAAAAAAUAUCGCUAAUAAAAAAGGGGUUGUUUUCACUCAUACAAAAGAGGAAGGCUGCGAGCUGCUUUUUGUUUAUUUGAAAGAACACAGAAAAGGAAGAUGGGUUUCUCCCCUCCGUGAGCAUCUCUCCACGCGGGUGCAGAGGCACAAAUCGAGGACUGCUGGGUUAAAUGGUUUUGGAUGAGCACUCUCCACUUCUCGCUGGAGAAAUUCAGGCCCCGGUUCAGAUGAGCAUCUUGAAGUUAUCAGUGGAGACAGAGAGUUUCUCUGAACCCUUUGUUUUAUUUUUUUUUUCCUUGUAGGUGUGAAUUAAUUGUAUAAAGAGUAAAUAAUUCUUGUGAAAUAAGCCCGAAUACUUUCCUCAGUUGCACAAUUGCUUCAGCUCGAGGCUCUGAUGAUCUCAGUCAAGAAAAUUUCUGUCUUUGAACGCAUUCCUCCCAACUACAGAAUUAGUUGAAAUCUGUUCAAGUUGCUGAGUAAAGAGUAAACUUUGUUGUUUUCUUUUUAAGGUUAUUUUUCAACACCCACAAGCAAAUGGGGACAGCGACUGCAAAUUUCAACACGCGGCCGUUGCUAUUUAAUUAAAAUCACUGAGGCUGGCUGAAGACUUUUCAGCAGAGUGAUUUCACAUCAGAGAACACCGGUUCUCAAAAUCUGAACAUUCUUUUCAUAGAAAUCCAUCCCUCCAUUUCAACCAGGAAUGAGAUUUCAGUUCUAGGAAAGGACUUCUCAUCCCAGCUAGGAACGGCAAACCAUCACUCCCCUUUUGCGGCGGGGCUGCCCAACCGUGGCAGCCAGAGCAUCUCUUUCCACCCCUCUCUGUAUUUCCAGCUGUAAUCGUUCCAUGUCUGUCUGCAUUAACUAUUUGCACAGCUCAGGACAGGAGCUCUUGUCCGAGGAGUGGGGAAUCUCCAAGGCUGUGAUUCUCUCUGUUUCAUUAAAGGUAAUGGCAGGGCAGAAUGCCUGCAGGGUGGUUGAACCUUCCUCUCGUUCCUUGCGACCGGGGAAUGGAAACAAUAUCUCACACUAUUUGUGCAGUGAUUCCUGGCUUGUUAAUAUUCUGGUGUGGCUGUUUUUCUCUGCUGUGAGGAACUUUGCCCACUUAGCAUGGGGUUUUGCCUCUGUCUAAGUGGGAAUGCUGCUUUUCCUUUUCCCUUCUUCCAUUUGGAAAGCUGUUUUCCUGCCAUUGCUAGUCCUUUCUGUGUAAUAUUAGCGCAGAGAGAAUGAAAAGUAACUGCUUUCCUUCCCAUCCAAUCGUACCUACGUAGUCUUAAGUAUAUUAUAUGCUUCGCUUCCUGCUUCACCCACUAGUAAAAUAUGUUGAUAGAUGAAUACGGGGGUAAGAUUGCUUUAAUUAGAACCUAUUGCCCUGCACACUAUCUUCUCUAAAGACUACCUGUAUUAACAUCUGGGGAAAAUAAGUCUUAAAGAAAAUUUCCUAGGACAGAUUUUUGGACUUCACCCCCCAACUUCUGCUUCCCAACCCUUUCAAUUUCUCAAGUAUAUUUAAAAAUGCAUGACUCACCCUGUUGCUUCCUUAUAUUUUAUGGUGAGGUGGGGGGGGGGGGGGUGCCUUCAUUUUCAUUCCUGGGAUUACCUUUAACGAAGUGGAAAACAUCUAAGGGAUGGGAUAAUACCUGAUGCUUACAGUUUUCUUUACAUCACAUUACAGUAUUUUCUCAGGUAUUAAAGUAGCACUGGGCUCAACUAAGAGGAGUGAUCAAACUGUCUACUAAUGAAGUUACUCUGACAGGAACUCCAGGAACCGGAAACUGAACUUCAGAAUCAUGAAGAGCACUGCUAGAUGAAGACAUGGGCUGGAUACAUGUCUACCACACUAGAAGAAACUGAAAGAAUACGAUCCCAUUUGACUCCAAAAGUCUUUCUAGGCUAAUUACCAGCUCACAGAGCAGAGAAAUUAAGGCAGAGAGGGAAUGUUCAUGAUGACAACCUUUACCCAUUAGCAAGCUUUGCAUUUUCCCAAGGCUGAAGACAGUUUAGCCCUGACAAAUCCAAUCAGUGAUAUGCAGGCGUAACCUCCAGAAAUAAGCUCACAUUUUUAGGAUCCACGGGGCAAAAGAUGGACUGCAGUAAGUCACUAUGAAAAUAUUUAAAAUACAGCUUGGCCAGUGCUGAAAUGGCACAGUUGGCCUGAAGUCGCUUCAAGGUCUCCUGGCAUCUGCGUGUUUCCCCAGUGGCUUUGUGCAGUAAAGUGUUAACUUCUCCUGAGUGGUUACGUGUUUAAGGCAGUAACUUUAAAAUAAAGAACUGCAACCUUAGAGCAAAGCUGCUAUUUUGAGAAUUUUAAACCAUUAUUGACUCCUGUCAGAUCAGUUUCUAGACUUAUUGACUCAAGAAGUAAAUAUAGACUGAGAGAAAGCGAGGUCAAGUCAAUAUUUAUCUUGCAGAUCAAUACAUUUUGAUACUAACCAAAAAUUAAGCUCAAUAAAUGCAUAUAUUAUACACAGCAAGGUUAGAAGAGAUCCAUUCAGAAAAUUUGUCAAUUUGAAAUUUCCCAACGGAAUCCAACCUUUUGGAUUCAAUUUCCAUUAGAAAUUCUGUCCCUUUAAGGUUGCUUCAGUGACUGAUCACGAGCCCCCAUCACCCAAUCAGGUUUCCAGAUGAACGUUGAGUAGCAGCGAAAGGAAAAGGGAAGAAUGAUGAAGUGAGAAGAAGUUGGUCACAGGAGCUCGAUUACGGUGUUAGGAGGAGGAGAACGGAAGAGCUGGCAAGCUGAGACACUACCAGUACUUUGUGGAAACCGACAUAUGAAUUUGUUCUACAAAUGUGCCAGGGACACACUGAUCCAACAGUUAGAUCACUUCCAGAAGACACGGAGUUAGAUCUCUGAGUUCACUUCCAAUUGCUGACUACUACUAUCCAAUAAAAGAAAAAUUCUGCGUAAAGUAAACAAGGAAAAUGGAGGAGAUUCUGCUGGAAGGACAGAAGGGACAGCAAGCAUGGAGAUUUAAAUCAGAGGAAGACUGACUGUCACUGCAGAGGGGAAAGGGCAUGAGAAUGAGCACUGCAAGAAAAAAAAAUCAUCAAAAAAUUCCUCCUUCUCUGGGAUGAAUACAGGGGAGUAAAUGUGUUCCUACAAAAAUUGAAUUAUGUAGUGAUUUUAAAUAUGGUGUGAGAAUGAAGGACAUAUGAGCUGCAACGAGAGAACCAAAGAGGAAUUAUGUGAUGUGUUCAGGCUGGGAGUGUGCCUCACAUGACAACAGGAAGAGAGGAAAGGUGGAGGAAAAAAAAUGCAGAAUCGACUCUAUUCUGAGCCAUUAAUGUCAGCCAUGUUGAUGUUUUGUAGCUAGUUAUAUUUGCUGAUGGUUCCCACGCACUCAUGACAUUCAACUUUGCAUCAUCCCCUAAAAACUGGAAAGAUGUCUCUCUGAGAAUGACCUAUAGCUUUGAUAUCACCAUAACUAAUUUCCUUUUCCUAAAGUAAUGGUGCCUACUCUUGAGGAGCAGAAUGCUGUGAGCUUUUAUUUCCAGUCUGAGGACAGUUCUGUGAUAGGUGGAAUAAUGCCAGAACCUACUUUUCAUUAGAUUGUAUGAUCUGACUUUAUCUUGCAUGCUCUGUGUGGUUUGAGUGAAUAAAUCACACCAGAAUUUAUGGGGUUUUCAUCCUUACAAAUGAAUCUUCAUCAUUACUAUGUGGAUAUAAGUAUUCUUGGGCUGCAGAAGACAGUGAGACCCACCAGGGCAACACAAACUGAUGCCAACUUGCCACCUACUACUCCCUUAACCCAAAACUCCAAUGACCUGGGCCACUGAAACACUGGGAUCCCAUAGGGACCUGCCUGGCCAUUCCAUCUGGGGUUUGCAGGACAGGAUCCUGGUCUUUUGUGAAAACUGUUGACUAAAAAUUCAAUUUUCUCUUUCUCUUUUUUUCUUUUACUGUAAGAAUGGCAGAAGAGGAAUGGCCAGAAGCCACCUCCUUCUUGUUUGGACCAGCCUGCUUUUCUAAGGGCAACAAAAAGCAACAGAAGUGGUAGAGAAGAUGAAUGCAUCUUCCCUCCCUUCACAUAAAUUUGUGUUUUUUUUUUUCCUGUUGUUGUUGUUUUAUCCUUUUUUGUUUUAUUAUUUUUCCUAUUUAUUUUGCAAUUGGAAAAGUCCUGGGAUUUCAUUAACAACUUCCCAGGAUGACAGUGAGACCCUCACGACCCAGCAGCGAGUUCCAGUUCCCACCUGGGUGCCUCUGGAGAGUGACAAAUCUCUUGGAUGUGCUCUAACAUCCCAGAAGCACAGGCCAGGAACAUCUGUCUGUUCCUUCCCUUCCUUCAGACUGCCCCGAGGAGGAGGGAGGCAGGCAAGUAAUGAUACGAAAGGCAAAGGCUCAACUGGCCGUGUUACAUUAGCCAACUCAAAUAAUUCCUCUUGGCUGUGGAAACAGCCUUCCCAUCCAAAGCGGUCUUUUUUUUGUUUGUUUGUUUUUUUCCCUUUUUCCCCCCCAAAAAACAAGAACAGCUUAUUUCCAAUUUUGGGCAGGUUCCUUGGCCAUGGGCCAGCUCUCCCCACUGCCUCUCCGUGCUACUUCCCAAUGCCCCUCAAGUGACCUUACUGAAUGCCACGGGGACCAAACCUUACCGAACAGCAAAAUCAAAGUAUGCAAAUGAAGCUUGGAUUAUUACAUAUAUAAUGAUGAAAAUGUUUUUCCUAUGCUAUUGCCUGUGCCCAGCUUCCUUCCCUACCACUCUGAGUGCUUCAGAGCUGUGUAUAGCUGUUGAGCUGAAGCACCCAAGAAUGGCUCUGAAGCAGGAAGAGAGUUCAAUCUGCAGGCUGGUUUUCCAGGCACUUUCUUUCUCAUUCUCCACAAGAUAGUUGAUAUUCCUCCGGAUUUUGCUGUUAUUAUUUGGGUGUCUCUACUUCACAGAAAAGGGCAGAUGAAUGCCUUUUGCAGCCUCUUCAGUCCACUCUAGUUCUAUUUUAGGCUGAGAAGACUGUGCUGCUUGGGUAGAUGGGUGCAUUUCAUGCCAACAGCUUAGUCUUUCUGCAAAGUUAGGCAUCUCAGUUUGAAAAAAUAAGUACUAGGUAAAGCUGUUUGAAUCAGUGCAGGAAGCUGAGUUGCUAUCAGAUGUAUAUGGCAUAAAGUACGUAUCCUGAUGGGUACUCUUCUUCAAAGGAAAAGUGGUGAUGUUUACUUGUGCAUUUUAAUGAUGAGAGGAUGCGUACUGUGACACGAAAUCCUAUCCACUGUACCAGUUCAACAGCAUUUAAACACUGAAGUCUGAGCUACGCAUAACCAAUGGGAAGGAUGUGGAAGAACGCUUGCCUGAAGACACCUACUCUUUAUUUUUAUUACAAAGUCAAUUACCAUUUCAAAGCAGCCAUGUGACAUGUAUACUGUCAGGAGCCAGAUGUUGGCAUUGUGAUAUUGUGACAUUAAUUUAAAAGAAGAGUCUUUUUUUUUUUUUUUUUUUUUAAAUGCUGACUUCCCAAGGAUUAAGUUGGAUAUUCUCAAUGUAGUUGAAAAAAGAAUUUACAUUCCCCAAACACAAACAUUCUUGUUUUCUGUUUGGUUUUAUAACUCAGUCAUUUCUCUAUUGAAGAAGCACAAAACAGAAAGAACUUUUGGUUCCAGGUAGUUUCACUUCAGCUGAUCUUUCUAAAAGCAUGCACCUUUUUAGCUGUUUCAGUUAUGAAUCAUAGAAUGGCCUGGGUUGAAAAGGACCACAAUGCUCAGCCAGUUCCAACCCCCCUGCUAUGGGCAGUUGCCAACCACCAUAUCUUCUUUAUAAAGGGAAGUUUAUUAAGUAAAAUUUGGGUUACUGAGGUUUUAGCACAUGUUGCAUUGAAUCCCUUUUUUUCCCCCCUAAAUCACGUGGUUAAACUUAGUUUGGGUCUCUUACAACCAGAAUCCCUGCUGACUCCGCUCUGGUCCAGGCAGAUUGAACUGAGUCGCAACACUGCUGGUACGCGUCCUCAUCCCCAGUGCCAAGAAAAACCCUUUCCCUCUGUGUUUUCUUGUUAGCAAUACUGCUAUGGAGGCCAAGGACUGACAGUCUUUCUCUUAAUUCUCAAAUCCUCUCCUCCAACAGGGAAAAAGGAAAAAGAUUGAAAAACCUUUUGCUAUUGUUUGGUUGUUUGAUCAUAAAGGGGAACUAGACUGCCAAGCCAGCACCCCAGCAGCCCUAAAUCUAUGUGUAAAAUAUGGGCAAAAGGAGAGAAAAGAUUUAUUGUUAUUAUUAUCAUCACAGACUACCUUUAUAAUAUAUGUGUUUCACUUAAAUUAAUAUUUUAUAACUCUAUAUCAGCCUCUGCAGCCACCCAACAGCAUUUCUUAUUUAUCCAGUCGGACAUACUAAUUUGCUUUUAUCAAAAUACUUGAGAAAUAAUUGUCUUACCUCUCCUAGGACAUGCUACAGGGUUUAUUCUCUCCUUGCUAUCUACAUAGUUAUAAAUCCUCAUGCAUUGAGAGCAGAAUAGGCUUUAUGUGUCUAGCAAUUUCUUAUGAUUUCUAGGCUAUUAUCCCCAAAUCCUAAUUAACCAUUUUUAAAAAUAAUGUGGCCUUUCUACCACGUGAGAUAUACCAACAUGAUAAGAUACGAUGUGAAAGUCCCAAGUAUAAUGUAAUUCUGCUGCUUUACUUUUCCUCUUUUAUUAGAGAUUUCUAACAUAAUACUGCAUUUUCAUCCAAAGUGACAGGAUUCAGUACAUAGUUUGUAGUAUAUGUUUUGCAAACUGCCAGAACAGAGCCAUUGAAUUUAGUUUUCUAAUAAUCGUACAGCCAUACAACACGCCCGUACAUGUCAGAAACUGAAGAAAGCAAAUUUAUACACAACAACGUGUAUUUUGUGGAUAGCGAUAACCCACCCAAAUCUAAUUUAAUCAAAUAUUUAAAGAGGUAAUAAUUAAUUUUUAAAGAAUUGAAGUGAACCGUAACUAGGAGGAAAUGUUAUUGUUUAUUUUUAAUGCCAGAACUGUAUUCCUGAUGCAUUUUUAAUAUUUCAUUAAGGUGGUAACUUUCAUGGCGUAUUUUUUCAAGUUUCAUAUCUCCCUGAUUUAUUUCUUUUCUUCUGAAGAAAGGUAAAAUGCCAUAGGGAAACUUAAAGCUUAGAAUGAUGCAGUCUUUGAGGAGCUCUUCCUAAAACUUCCUGGAGUCUUUUUAAGCAGAAUUCUUCUUAAGCCUUUCUGGACAAGCAUUCUAAAACCAGAAGUCUUUUAAACAAGCUGAGGUACAGCAUCUGCUUGUGAGCUGAGCAAAGGGUUCUUCUUUCAGUCAAUGAAUGUGUUCAUCAGGUACUACUUUCUAUUCUGUCUCCAAGCUAUUACUCAUCACUCAUCAUUCUUACUUUCCAGAAGAGAUAUCUGCAAGAAUGGUUUUAAAGCCCAUUGCCUUUCAAACCUGUGUUCUGCCCUUCCUCAGUCCUUUGUUUUUUGUUUUAUCCCUUCUUUUUGAUGGAGCGUCUCUCACGUUUUUGAGCCUUUCAUACUCAAACUGUGGAAGCCUGUUUAUUUCACUCUGGCUCCAGCCCUAGUUAAAGGUGUGAACUACCAAAGUGGAAGGGGGCACAUGCACAUUAACACUGCUGUGGAAAACGUCGCCUGACAGAUGGAUGCAUGUUAAAUGGGUGUUUGAAGAAAGGUGUUUGCAAUAAAAAUCCUGAGUAUGGCAUCAGAGGAAGACCACACACAAUUUUCUACUUUUAUUUCUGUAAUAUAUAGGGGCCAGGCUAGUUCUGGUCUGCUUUAUACUGUCACUUACUCAUAUUUGCUAUUUUAUACUAAUAAUUUGUAUAUUAAUAUUUGUGUGUGUAUUUCAAAGUCUGGCUGUUUUCAAGGGUCUGCUCUGCAGCACAAGGGUCUGAGUCAACAUAGUAUAAAUCAUUGGUUUAUUCAAUAAACAAAAUAGUGAAAGGAUAAAUUGAAUUUCUCCAGUUUCAGUCACCAGUUCUUGAUCUCUGGGGGAUACUCACCUAAUAUGUUAGUUAUGGAGCUAUGAAUAUGAUGUGCAGAUACAUCCUUGCUUGGGUUUAUCUACCUUGACCUUAUCUACCCUAAGAACUGAAGUGUUUAAAUUCUGGUUGAGAAUUGAAGCAGGUGAUUAGAACUAGAUGAUCUUUGAGGGCCCUUUCAACCCAAGCCAUUCUAUGACUCUUUGAAAGAGGAACUGUAGAUAAGUUCACUCAAUUUCUGUUCCUAAGUCCUUAGCUGUUCUCUGGAUGGAUAACAGGAUUUUUUAGGCACAGCAUUGCAUUCUCUACCAUCUUUGCUCUUUUCCCAAAAUAUUUCUGACUCAGUCAUCUCCUGCCUACACAGCGAACUUUUGCGCCCCCUGACUUAGGCUGAAUUGGUUUCUCUUUAUGUACAAACAGGACUGCUUUUUCUUUCCUGAUUUCAUAAUUGCUAUUUCUAUUGGUUUGCUUCUUUUAGUUUUCAAUUCUACUUCAACUUGACUAUGAAGAUUAUCAAGAAAUAAAGCAUGAUUCACAUCUACACAUAGUUUACGACCUUUAGAUUCAAGCCCCUUUAUAUAAACUUGCAAAUACGAAAGGAUACGUCAUAAGACCUUGUAGGCACCCAAACUGUCAGUGAAUUCAGCCUGAAACUGUUUUUUUCAGCUUUAUUGAGACCUCUUUAUAAGCUGUGCUUGUGUUAUGACAAUAGAUUGUUUACAGAUUCUUAAAAUGUCCUGAGUUGAUGGAAAAAAAAGGGCAAUUUUUUUCCUUAUAAAUACCACUUGACUUUGAGGAGUGUUUGAAGCUACACAACCAGAAUAGGAACAUUCACACCCGCUGUACGAGUGGCUCAAAAACCCUGUCAUUUCUCUCAGGCCCAGCUCCAGCAAGCACUUACACACAUGCUUAACUUUAUGCACACGAGUAAUCCCAUUGAUUUAAUGGGAUUAUUCCCCUAUGCACAGUUACGCAAACAUAAGUGUUUGCAGGACUGGGGUCUAUUUCUCUUGCAAUGAUUUGAAACCUGUGGAAGAAAACGCUAUAUGCAAGUUAGAUAUUAUUUAAUGGCCACAUAUUAAGCCUGAAUAUUUCUGCUGAAAUUGGUGAGGCUGUGCGAGUUUCUUUCUGGCUGAGAAACUGUCCUCUUCUGUGCGCAGUGUACACUCUUAGCUUGCUAUGGUGCACUGUGGCUAUCACAGCAUAGAAAGGCAUAUGGGAACUGUUGAGUCACAGCCUGAACCACUGACUGAGCACCUGGGGAAAGGACCUGGUCAGCCCUGGGAGCACAGGUGAAGACAAUUCACCUGUAUGACUGGAAGGGGUGCAGCCUGGCUCCACCUCUCUUAGAUCUCAUUUAAGGGCUGACUGCCACUGGAGAAGGAUCUCCUUCUGGAGAUCCCUCCUUGAUGGAGCUUUCCUUUGUGAACCUGGAAUCAUCUGAUACAGGUCUCAGACAACGAAGAUUCAGCUCCACAGCACCCUGAGAUCAGCCACUAAUUUCAGAAAACUAGCACACAUGCGAUGAAAUCACCACAUUCUGGAGUGACAACAUAUUCUGCAGAAACAGGGCUGGGAUGCUGGUGGUGCCUUGGUUUGACCUGAUUUUACUUUAUGCAAAUGUAAAAUGUCCAUGGGAGAGACUGACAGUGGAUUUCAUAGCACUGCAAUUUGAUUUUAGUAUUAAACAACCAAAGGAAAAAACCACCAACAAAAAUCACAGAAACACAUGCCAUUGAAUUAAAGCAUUACCUUUACCUUUGGAUUGUGUCCUUUUACCCAUUGUGAGGAGUGUAACCACCUGGAUAUAUGAAACAACACCAUUCCAAACAGUAUUAAAAUCUAAAGAAAGCUCUGUAACUAGCUUAAAAUGUCAAGUGGUAGGAGAAAAAUCACCUGCAAUACAAAACUCUUGCUAUUAUAAUGAUACAGUGUGUAAUUCAAUAUAUCUGUUUAGAUAUUGACCUUCUGUAUUAUUAAUGGCUUUAAAAAGGGUACUGCUGUCUUGUAAGUCCUUAACAGGUGGAUGCCACUGGAAAUCUAACAUUUAUUGGUUUCUAUGUGCCAGAUUACUUUCAAACUACAACUCAUUGCAAAUAUAUUUGCAGCCUGAAUGUAAUAGGCAGAACAUGACCUGAUUUGUACUUUUUUUUCCCUAAAGCUUCUUCCUAUCUUCUCACCUUCUCCACCCCAGUCCCUAUUCAUCAAAUAAAGAGCAAGAGAGCAAGGGAGAAAGAGAGGAAGGGAAAAGAGAGGAAGGGAGGAAGGGAGAAAGAGAGGAAGGGAG
ensembl:lncRNA